rnacentral:lncRNA from 1 species
CAUUGGUUCAUCAAGAACAUCAAAGAGACCAUCAAUAUUAUGGUCAGGUCCUAGUGCUUCUGCCUUAAUGGUUUGCCAUUUCUUAACAAGGGUCUCAGCUUCUUCUAUAGGCAUUGGCGUCUUGUAAGCUGUUGUUGUGGAAGGUGAUAGACCAGCAGCAGCGAAAGAAUUUUGCAGACCCCUUAACGAGGGUCUCAGCUUCUUCUAUAGGCAUUGGCGUCUUAUAAGCUGCUGUUGUGGAAGGUGAUAGACCAGCAGCAGCGAAAGAAUUUUGCAGACCAGAAGCUUGUGGGUGCCGCCCUAUCUGCGUUAUGAACUCUGGAAGCAUCUUCCUCAACUUACCAAUGAUGCCACUUCUCUUAUUACU